rnacentral:tRNA from 1 species
CGGGGUGUGGCGAAGUUUGGUACGGGACCAAGAGGCCUCGGGUUCGAAUCCCGACACUCCGACCA